GCUAGCAUGGUGUAGUGGUUUGAAUAUUAGAUUAGGACUCUGGAAGACCAGGGUUUGAAUCUCUAUUCAACCA